GCUCUGUCUGUUCUUGCAGUCUGUGACCUCAGGGCUCCACAGCCUCCUCCCUGGGUCUGUCAAAUGGAGAAAUGCUCCUCCUGGCCAGUGAAGACAACCUCAGCUCUGUACUGUGAAACUCACAGACCCUUUGCUCUAGAACCUGUCUUAGUAAUCACCUGCAAAGCUACAAUUUUGGCAACAUGAGCUGGCAACCUAACCUAACGUUGCUGUAUCUUGGAUUAUGGAAGUGUCUUUCCACAUGUCCAAACCUGCCACAUUCUCUUCCUACCUUCCUCCGUGCUUCAUCAACAAUACCUGCUUCUUUCAACCACCCGGAUCUUCAUGUGCACCACUUAAAUGGAGCAGCCAGGAGCCAGUGUGGCCACUAAGCAUGAAAAAUGAAGCCAGUCUGAAGCAGUCUGAAGGCAACCUCCAGCAGGAAGAAGCAGAUGCAAACUUCAGAAUGUUAAGUGGCCCUGAAUGAAUAAGAACUUGGGCUAAGAAGCCAAAGCUAUUCCUAUACUGCCUGUCCUUCCAAUGCCACACUCUGGAAUGAUCCAUCUUUCAAAUUAUUAAGUAAAAGGUAGAGUGACUCACCAACUACCAGGCAGUGAGGGUAAAUCAGCCUUGUCAUAAUUUUACAGACUUCUCCUUCCGCUCAUGAAAACAAGUUAUGUAUGGUAUUUACGUACAUCUGUGUUGCUGGGCAUUUUCCAAAUGCCUCUUGGAGAACAUUAAACAGGAAAUUGAUGCCA